AUUGAACGCUGGCGGCAGGCCUAACACAUGCAAGUCGAGCGAGCGGCGGACGGGUGAGUAAUGGCUGGGAAACUGCCUGAUGGAGGGGGAUAACUACUGGAAACGGUAGCUCAUACCGCAUACCAUCGGAUGUGCACAGGUGGGAUUAGCUAGUUGGUGGGGGAAUGGCUCACCUAGGCGACGCUCCCUAGCUGGUCUGAGAGGAUGACCAGCCACCCUGGAACGGAGACACGGUCCAGACUCCUACGGGAGGCAGCAGUGGGGAAUAGUGCACAAUGGGCGCAAGCCUGAUGCAGCCAUGCCGCGGGUAUGAAGAAGGCCUUCGGGUUGUAAAGUACUUUCAGCGGGGAGGCGUUACCUGAAGAAGAAGCACCGGCUAACUCCGUGCCAGCCGCCGCGGUAAUAC
rnacentral:rRNA from 1 species